rnacentral:rRNA from 1 species
UACGGGGGGGGCAAGCGUUGUUCGGAAUUACUGGGCGUAAAGGGCUUGUAGGUGGCCAACUAAGUCAGACGUGAAAUCCCUCAGCUUAACUGGGGAACUGCGUCUGAUACUGGAUGGCUUGAGUUUGGGAGAGGGACGCGGAAUCCAGGUGUAGCGGUGAAAUGCGUAGAUAUCUGGAGGAACACCGGUGGCGAAGGCGGGAUCCUGGGCCAGUACUGACGCUGAGGAGCGAAAGCGUGGGGAGCAAACAGG